rnacentral:rRNA from 1 species
UUAAAUUGAAGAGUUUGAUCAUGGCUCAGAUUGAACGCUGGCGGCAGGCCUAACACAUGCAAGUCGAACGGUAACAGGAAGCAGCUUGCUGCUUCGCUGACGAGUGGCGGACGGGUGAGUAAUGUCUGGGAAACUGCCUGAUGGAGGGGGAUAACUACUGGAAACGGUAGCUAAUACCGCAUAACGUCGCAAGACCAAAGAGGGGGACC